UACGUAGGGUGCAAGCGUUGUCCGGAAUUAUUGGGCGUAAAGAGCUCGUAGGCGGUCUGUCACGUCGGCUGUGAAAACUCGGGGCUCAACCCCGAGCCUGCAGUCGAUACGGGCAGACUAGAGUCCGGCAGGGGAGACUGGAAUUCCUGGUGUAGCGGUGAAAUGCGCAGAUAUCAGGAGGAACACCGGUGGCGAAGGCGGGGUCUCUGGGCCGGAACUGACGCUGGAGGAAGCGAAAGCGUGGGGAGCGAACAGG
rnacentral:rRNA from 1 species